rnacentral:rRNA from 1 species
UACGGAAGGGACAAGCGUUGUUCGGAAUCAUUGGGCGUAAAGGGCGCGUAGGUGGUUUGUGUGUCUACCGUGAAAGCAUACAGCUCAACUGUAUUUUGUCGGUAGAAACUGCAGGACUUGAGGCUGGGAGGGGCUGGUGGAAUUCCCUGUGUAGCGGUGAAAUGCGUAGAGAUGGGGGAGAACACUCGUGGCGAAGGCGGCCAGCUAGACCAGUUCUGACACUGAGGCGCGACAGCGUGGGGAGCAAACAGG